CAUUCUGCCAUUAAUCUCGUGCUUGCUGAACAUGAAGAAGAGGCAGUGUUUGAGUUAUUUUUUAAUUGGCUACUUUCCUUGACUUCCAGAAACAUCGAAUGAAUGCUGAAAUUCCUAGUCUGGUUUCUUCAGUGGUGUGUUUGUGUUUUAGUACAACCUGCAAAAGAGUUACUCCAUUGUCUAAAAAUGCAAAUGAGAAUUUCCAAAUAUACAAAAUGCCUCCAAGCUUGUAUUAAGAGCCCAAAUGUUCCCUUUGAACUCUGCUAAUACACAGAAGAGUUGGAUAUCAUGAUCUUUGCCCUGAGGAAUUUAUCUUCCAAAGAAAGGAAGCUCAAGGAGUUGAUACCUUCUGAAAUGUUUUUAAUAAAAUCUGGGACAUGAGAUGGUGGAAAAUCCCUUAGGAUAGGCCGUUUGCAUGUAUAAUGUUGAUUAAAAGUUUUUGUACCCAU
rnacentral:lncRNA from 1 species